GUUCUAAGGUAGUCGUGUGUUAAAGUUCCAACACUAUGAUGACGUCACGGCCUCCAUCUUCCCUGUCGUCUGGGAAGGCUGCCGAGACAGGGAUAUAUUUUCAUUGUUUUUCAGGUUAUUAUAAAGUGCCAGGAAGCGCCAUGCUGUGGGAAGGAUGAUGCAAGUGAAGGCCACGAGAGAGAAGUGGAGAGAGGACCAGGGAAUGAAUGAUCCAAUGUCUUGCUGCCCCACUCACUGAGACAAGAGACAAGAGAAGGAAGAGGAAGAAAAAGAAGAUGAUGAAGAGGAAGAGGAG